AAAUUGAAGAGUUUGAUCAUGGCUCAGAUUGAACGCUGGCGGCAGGCCUAACACAUGCAAGUCGAACGGUAGCACAGAGAGCUUGCUCUCGGGUGACGAGUGGCGGACGGGUGAGUAAU
rnacentral:rRNA from 1 species